GACGAACGCUGGCGGCGUGCUUAGCACAUGCAAGUCGAACGGAAAGGCCCUGCUUUUGUGGGGUGCUCGAGUGGCGAACGGGUGAGUAACACGUGAGUAACCUGCCCUUGACUUUGGGAUAACUUCAGGAAACUGGGGCUAAUACCGGAUAGGAGCUCCUGCUGCAUGGUGGGGGUUGGAAAGUUUAGGCGGUUGGGGAUGGACUCGCGGCUUAUCAGCUUGUUGGUGGGGUAGUGGCUUACCAAGGCUUUGACGGGUAGCCGGCCUGAGAGGGUGACCGGGCCCAUUGGGACUGAGAUACGGCCCAGACGCGUACGGGAGGCAGCAGUGGGGAAUAUGGCACAAUGGGCGGAAGCCUGAUGCGACAACGCCGCGUGCGGGAUGACGGCCUUCGGGUUGAAAACCGCUUUGGCCUGAGACGAAGCGUGAGUGACGGUAAUGGAUAAAGAAGCACCGGCUAACUACGUG
rnacentral:rRNA from 1 species